rnacentral:lncRNA from 1 species
CACUUUCUUUGCUUGUCCAUAAAAAGCAAUGUUUCAUCUGUUCAAGUUUUAUCAUAUUACAACAGAACUAAUUCUAGUUCUAUUGCUGUCUCUACCAUAUCUGCAGUUACUUCCUCCUCUUAAGUCCCAAACUCUUCAAAGUCAUCCAUGAGGGUUGGAAUCAACUUCUUCCAAACUGUUAAUGGUGACAUUCUGACCUCCUCCCAUGAAUCCUGAAUGGUCUUAACAGCAUCUAAAAUGAUGAUAGAUCCAUGAUGCAUAGUUACAGGAUAUGAGAAUUCACUGUGAAUCCCCCAACCACUGAGGAUGGUAUCACGAUGAGCAACGACCAUGCAGUCCCAUGAAAUGUCCCUCAGCAUCACAACCAGCAGCUCAUCCUGUCCUUUCCCUGCUCCAGCUAUGGAAUCUACCAUAUCUCCAAAGAAUCCUGGAAGAGCCUCUCCUGAGACAAAAUCAUAUAUCAGAAAACUAAUAAGACAGGAAAUUUAAGUACACGUUGAAAGAAAAAGAUACUUUGUUACACGAAGCUGAAGUCAGUGAAACUUGUAACAAGGCAGGCUCAAACAGAGGUACCAACUACAGGUAUUUUAUUUUUAUUUAAUAACAAUAAUGUUUCACUGAUUUCCUUGAGUUCUCAAAGAUCUAAGUAAAUUUUAGUAUGCAAUCCUAUCUUAAAGCUAGGAACCUACAAGAAACAACCAAAUAUCAACCCCAAACAGUGACAAAGUGAUUAUUAGUAGGGCCAAGCUAGGGGGGUGGGAAGGGGAAGCCAUGGUAGCCUACUGCAGGUGUUAAUGCCUGACCUGGGUUACAAUGGGUUCACAUGGGGCUGUUGGUAGCCUGGUCCAGUACUGAGGAGAGUAUCUGUGCAGGAGGGUGGCCUGGUGCAGGCUGGCGAAGCACAGGCAGGGUAAAGAGGGUAUCUCCACAAAGGCAUGGUCUGGCUUCAGGUGAGGAAGGAAUCUGUCUGGGGUCGGGCAGAGGCUAGCGGGUGGGAAGGAUGAGAUGGAGAGGCACCUGGCACAAAGCGUCAGAGCAGAGCUCAGUAAAAGGGACUCCAUGACGAAGAGCAACCUGGCACGGAUGUCAGAGCCCAGACAAGGUAAAAGAAGUGUCAAUGCUGGGUGCGGCGCCAUGUGGUGGCCUGGUGUGUAGUGUUGAGUCCGAGCUGGGGAAAAAGAACAUUUCUGCAAUGGAAAAGGACAUAUCUUCAUUCAAGUUGGGUUACGUAUAGGAGGACUGACCAAAAUAUGAAAAUAUAUUAAGGAUACUAGAAGCCCGUUUUCUAUCAGGAAAGCAAGUGACAAAUAUCGAAAGGGAGAACACUAGAACAAACCUUGUAAUGCUGGAUUAAAAUGGGAAGUAUCAGCAUCAACUCACAGUUUUUAAUAAAUAAAUAUACACAUGAUUUAGGAAUACAGAUGUCAGUGUGUGUAUAUUCACCUGCACACACACAAACAUUCACAACACUUAGUUCCUAGCUCUUUCCACUGAGAAACCAGGGAACAGUGAUAUUCCAAUAACAGCAUAUAUAAUUUCUAGGUCUCCAUUUCUAAACACCAUUCUUCAAAAAAAGGAAGCUGGGUCAGGUAUUGAGCCUGGAACAUCUUGUUAUAUGGAGGGAUAAUACUGGGACAACGGGUGAAACUUGAAAGGGGUCUGAGAAUUAGAUAUUGUAAUUUAUCAAUGUUCGGUUGCUAUGAGAAAAUCUGUUUCUAAGAACUAUACAUGAACCUACUUGGAAGUGAUAGGACUUAAGGUCAGCAACUUACUCUCAAAUACUUCAGAGAAGAAAAAAA